rnacentral:rRNA from 1 species
AUACGGAGGAUCCGAGCGUUAUCCGGAUUUAUUGGGUUUAAAGGGUGCGCAGGCGGCCAUUUAAGUCAGCGGUUAAAUCGUGGGGCUCAACCCCAUUCUGCCGUUGAUACUGGGUGGCUUGAUUGCGGUCGAGGUUGGCGGAAUUCGUUGUGUAGCGGUGAAAUGCAUAGAUAUGACGAAGAACACCGAUUGCGUAGGCAGCUGACCAGACCGCAAAUGACGCUCAUGCACGAAAGUGCGGGGAUCGAACAGGAUUAGAUACCCUGGGAGUCCGCACAGUAAACGAUGAAUACUUGUUUUCGGCGAUAUAAUGUCGGAGGCAAAGCGAAAGCGAUAAGUAUUCCACCUGGGGAGUACGCCGGCAACGGUGAAACUUAAAGGAAUUGACGGGG